rnacentral:rRNA from 1 species
GUCGAACGAAGCAUAUAAAAGGAAUUUCUUCGGAGAGGAAUUUUAUACCACUGAGUGGCGGACGGGUGAGUAACGCGUGGGCAACCUACCCCACACAGGGGGACAACAGUUGGAAACGACUGCUAAUACCGCAUAGGCGCACAGCUUCGCAUGAAGCAGUGUGGAAAACCGAGGUGGUGUGGGAUGGGCCCGCGCCUGAUUAGCUGGUUGGCGGGGUAACGGCCCACCAAGGCGACGAUCAGUAGCCGGCCUGAGAGGGUGGACGGCCACAUUGGGACUGAGACACGGCCCAAACUCCUACGGGAGGCAGCAGUGGGGAAUAUUGCACAAUGGGGGAAACCCUGAUGCAGCGACGCCGCGUGAGCGGAGAAGUAUUUCGGUAUGUAAAGCUCUAUCAGCAGGGAAGAAAAUGACGGUACCUGACUAAGAAGCCCCGGCUAAAUACGUGCCAGCAGCCGCGGUAAUACGUAUGGGGCAAGCGUUAUCCGGAUUUACUGGGUGUAAAGGGAGCGCAGGCGGCUUGGCAAGUCUGAUGUGAAAGGCUGGGGCUCAACCCCAGGACUGCAUUGGAAACUGUUAGGCUGGAGUGUCGGAGAGGUAAGCGGAAUUCCUAGUGUAGCGGUGAAAUGCGUAGAUAUUAGGAGGAACACCAGUGGCGAAGGCGGCUUACUGGACGACAACUGACGCUGAGGCUCGAAAGCGUGGGGAGCAAACAGGAUUAGAUACCCUGGUAGUCCACGCCGUANACGAUGAAUACUAGGUGUCGGUGGGCAAAGCCCAUCGGUGC